CACUCCUUAACCCCUGGUCCUGCUCGCGGUGGAGAAGAGAAUUCCAUUUACAACAACCAAGUUUCUAAGAACUGAGGUGCCUCGGUUGUUAAUGCUAUCUUCACACAAUGAUUGCAGUGUGCUUUAAAAGCAAGCUGGAAAGCAGACAGCACACCACCCCUCUCCUGGCGCCGGUUCUACUCCAGACUGUGGGCCGGAAGCUCGAGAGCUCGCCCUCGGGCUGUCUUCUGUGUUUUUCUUUCCCUAAAAAAUUCAAAGCACCUUAAUCUCAGACCCAGAGUGGGUCCUCGCCCUGAGCCCCCAGGGCAGCUGCACUCGUCCCACGUCCGUGACAUCUUUCUACACAUCUGGGACGAACGGCCCUGUCGUGUGCGAAGUCUCCCACCCACUGGGAGCCGGAUGAGUCACAGCUGAACAGAGCCAGGGGGCGGAGGAGUGCGGCCGCGCGGAGGGACGCAGAGGACCGUGCCCACGGUGGGACUGGCGCCAGGACGUCGGUCCCUUCCCCUCCUCCCCCCUCCCUUCCUCCUUCCUCCCGCCUCCCUCCUCCUUGCUCCUUUUCUGCUUCUUUUCUCCUUCUUCCUUCCUUACUCUUUCCUCCCUGUUCCUCCCUCCUUCCUCCUCCUUUCCUCUUUUCUCCCUUCCCUCCUCCUCCCUUCCUUCUUUGCCUUGACAUUUUCGGCGUUUUAUAAAAUAAGUUCAUAAAGCCUGUUCACA
rnacentral:lncRNA from 1 species